AAAGCUCAAGCAUACAAAAACUACCGAAAAUUCCACUACUUUUGCGACCAACGUAACGAUAGAGGUGACUACAUAACCGGUAGUACCUACCACAACAACCUCAAAAUCGCUUUUAUCUACCUCACUUUCAACUCAAAAAUUGACUACGGUUUCUACAACACCAACUAUGGCCAAAACAAUGACAAAGUAAACGUCAUUGGAAUAUGUAGAGGAGACAUUAAUCCUCAAGACUGUCGCAAAUGCCUAAUAGGUUCCAGAUUCAAUCUCACACAAGCAUGUCCAAACAAAAAAGAAGCAAUUGGAUGGUACGAGGAUGAGAAAUGCAUGUUACGUUAUUCAGACCGUUCUAUAUUAGGCCUAAACGAAAUUGGGCCAGCUUAUACUAUGUGGAACUCGAACAACGCAACAAUGGCAGAUCAACUUAGUAUCUUAGUAACACAACUAUUAAAUGAUUUAAGAAGCAAGGCUAUAAAUGGUGACUCACAUAGUAAGUAUGUUGUUGGAACAUCGCCGGGUCCUAGUAAUAAUCAAUCACCUUCUCAACAAAGUAGUGGUGAAACAAUAUAUGGUCUUGUUCAGUGUACACCUGACUUGUCUGGUCCACAAUGUGAUGAUUGUUUGCUUCAAUCUAUUGCUGGAAUUUCAAGAUUUAGCAAUAGGAGUAGUGCUAGAAUGAUUAGACCAAGCUGUUAUUUGAGGUUUGCAACUUCAUAUCAAUUCUAUCAACCCAAACCAAAACUGGCUUCCCAACUCCCAUGAUCAACAACACUUUUCUCGAAGGUAAUUGUAAGGUGAGAGGAUCUCUCUUCAUAAACUUUUUUUCAGCUUUAUCUCUUUUGAAUAUGCAUGUGAUUUAAGUUAUUUCCAAUACACUUUUUAAUGCCAUGAUUUUUGGGUUUGGUCGGUCAUCCGGUAAUUUGGUGGGUGAUUCAAAUGAAUGAAUUUGGAUAAUAUAUUAUGUUUUUAUAUUUGGUUCAAGUCCUAUUCUUAGUAAGCAGAUUUGUAAAAUAUAAACGCCACUCUUUACUAAUUUUCCAUUUAAUUAAAUAUCUCACCGAUAUGAUUAGUUCUAUUCUUUUUUAUGCAGAUAAAAUAAACACAUUGAGAACUAUUGUUGAUACAGUUCUGUUGUUGCCGCUGAUUUUGUCAUUGCUUCUUUUAUAUAACUAGUAUGUGAACUCGUGCCAAGCACGGGCAAGAAUUUCUCCAUACUCGAAGGCGAAAUAUAUUGUGAUUUAUCAAGUGUCAGUUACGGUCUAACAUUGAAUAUAAGAGUUGAAGUUGAACAACAAAUAGGUGAAAAAACUCUUGCAUUUGUGUGGUUGCUCUUUGUACAAUGAGUUGACCCACACCAAUAUUGACGAUCACUUAGAAAGUCCUACGUUUGUAUCGUAACCCGUUUCAACUUUGUGGAGAAGUGACAUUGGUUAAUGAUGGUAUAUCACAGAUGCGGAGAGUCUCGUAUUUAAGGAAUAGAUGUUAAUGUGUCAAGUGUGAGUUAAAGUUUCACAUUGGCUGCAAGAGUAAUUGUUUAACAACAUAUAAGUGAUAUGACUCAUAUACAUAAUGCCUUAAGGUUUAGGGUGAAGAUGUAGUCUCAAUCUCACUUGUGUGGUAUAUGUUAGUAUAAUGUGAUGAUCAAAAUCAAUGUAGGAUUCACCAGAAGUCACAACAUUAUGAUGAACUGUUUUUUUAGUUUUUGGAUGUCAUUUGUUUGAUUUUAAUCUUAAAAUUUAGUCUUUAAAUGUCAUUAAUUAUCUUUUCUGCGAAUUUUUUCAUUCAACCUUUAUUAUUUCAAAUUCCUUUACAUUAUAUUUUGUGUUUGCUUUAGCGUAUUUGUAAUAAGUACAACUGCGUCAUUAAGAGAGUGUUGUAUAUGGUGCAACAAGUUUAUACUUGAGUGGGUAACAACAUCCAUUUUUAUUUGGUUCUUAAAUGGGUCUCACGUGUACACAUCAUUUGUUUAUAAUUUUUUAAUAAUAGUAUUUAAUAAACACUCAAUCACUCCAACUCAAAUCUCACACAAAGUUCUUAAAUGGAACCUAUUAAUCAACUAUCAAUAAUUUUAUAUCAUUAUAUUUCAAUUUUUUAAUAUUAAUAGAGUGUGAGUCCCGCUUAAAAGUGGGGGUCUUAAGUAAGACCCCGGGUCUUAUAAGACCCUGAAAAAGAUUUUCCCCAUUGGGGGUUCUUAAUAGGUACUGGGUCUUAAAUAGUUAAGACUCUCCCAAUGGAGAUGGUCUAAUAAUUUGAUGAGGUAUUUUCUCACUUAUAUAGUCAACUACAAACCAAGUAAAUUAACUAUUGUUCCUUCCUGGUUGGGUAUAACUAUCAUUGUUCCAUCAGAUAUUGGUUGUCACGCACAACAACUUUUUGGCGCGCAUGCUUUCAGGAAGGGCAUUCGCUCUUGUUUUCAGGUGGUGUGACUGACAUGUCUUUGGGUCAUUUGAAUGAGAUAAACUCUAGAAUUUUCAACAACAUCUCUUCUAAAGAUCAACUUGUCGAUAGUAUUAAGCUUCAUUCUUGGUGGUGGCUAAAGACACAUAAACUGGAUUUUGUUUUUUAUUUUCAUUAUUGACGGUAUAUGCCGUCUCUUUGUAUAUGUUAAACCAUUUUGUAAUUAUAGGAGGGUGUAUUGGAUUAAGAUUUUAAAAGACUUUUAUUAUAAAAAAAAAAAUAAAAAAAAAAAGUCUUGUGAUAUUCAAUCAAGACUUUUUGCAAGUUAAAAAAAGUCUUGUGGUAUUCAAUCAAGACUCUUUGUCAUUUAAAAAAGUCUUGUGGUAUUCAAAAUUAUUCAAACUUCUAAAGAUUGUUUAAUAAAUUGGAUUUUGUGAGAUUUUCUAGUUAAAUUUUAGCAUGAAAAAAUCUCACAUAAAUAAGAGUCCGUAUUGAGAAUAUUGUGAAAAAAAGUGUUAUAAUCAUUUCUCUAACUUUCUCGUAAAAAUAAAUAAAUAAUUAAAAGAGUUUGUAUUGAAAAUAUUGUGAAAGAGAAUGUGUUUAUAAUCAUUUCUUCUCAAUGAAUCAUUAAAAUUCAUAAAAUCUUUUGAAAUCUUAUAAAAUCCAUAAAAUCAUUUCAAAUUCUUUAAAAUCUUAUGAUCUAAAUCCAUUGAAAUCCAUUAAAAGCAUGCAAAGUCUUUUAAAAUCCAUAAGACUUUUUUAAACAAAAAUUGUCCUUUAAAAUCCUGGUCCAAUACACCCCCCGUAGUUUCUGUCUUUACUGUGUUUGUUACUUUGACAGUACACAGUUUCCUUUUAGGAACAUCUUGUGCUUAACUCGUUUGGUUUUGAUAUAUUUUGCAUUUAGCUUCUUCAAAAAUAAAAAUUAACUUGAUUUUGAAUUUUAAGAUAGAUGAGUGGUAUGGCCUUAACUCGUUUGGUACUUUCAUUCUUUUUUUUCAACAUUUGUUUAAACCUCUUCAGAAGUAUUAAGAUUUUUAUGUCUCUCAUGGAAGUUUAUGAGACUUCCAGCUCCAAUUCCAACCCUUUGAUUCUUCAAACACAAUAUCUACUUGCUAUAUAUCAUCGUCUUGUCUUUAGGAUCGUACAACUUAUAAGCUUUAUAUUCAUCAUGCAUGCUAAGAUGAACACACGAUGUUUUUUUGCAUCUAGCUUCCUUUUUCUGAAACAUCUUAGACAUGAACAUAUGUCAAACAUCCAAAAUUUCUAAAAUGAUGUAUAAAGGGUUUCCAACCACUGCAUGCUUCUUUAGGUGUGAUGUCUUUAAAUGAGGCCUAUUUCCCCGCUUCUGGCCAAAACUUCUUUGGUAUACAUUUCUUUCUGAUAGCAUGCUUCUUACGAUAUUCAUUAGAGCCAUAUUCUUUCUUUCUAGCACUCCUCCUCCUCCUCCUUCUUUUUCUUUGAUUAUGGAUUAGUGAUGAGUAAACAACUUUGAGAAUCAAUUGUAUCUAAAUUUUUGUUGUUUGAAAUCUUUAUAAUACAUAUCUAUUACACCCAAUAUUCAAAUUACGUUUCUAGUAAAUUAAUAAGCCAAAGUCAAGUGACAAUUAAUGUGGAUUUGUGAAAUACUCAAGUGUUGUAGUCGAAACAAAGUCAUUUGUACUACAAACACAAUUAUUCAAAAUAUGUUGUAACACAAACCAAGCAUAUAUACUCAUUGUUGUCAAAAUCCCAACAUAAAUCCUAAAAUUCAGGAUUUUGCAACUGACCAUAGUAAAAUCCCAAAAUAGGCAAAUCCAUCGUUUUUUUUUUUAACAAGCCAAAAUGGAAUUAUAUACGAAAUAGGGUAGUCCCAAACGCACAAGGUGUGCCUUAGAGACGCAAAUCCAUCGGUUUUGAUUGCAAUUUUACGAUUUCUUAUAAACUAAGUCAUUUAUGACUAUAUACCAUUUAUAACAUAUAUUUAGUAUUAUUUUUUGUGGUAAAAUCCAUCGAUUUUUAUUUCGAUUUUGUGAUUUCUUAUAUCAAUUCUACAAAAGUAGUUGAGUAAAAUCCUUCGAUUUUGGUUGUGAUUUUACGAUUGUCGAUUUUGCUCUUCUCUUUCAACCUAAAGAAAAUCCCGAUUUUGACAACCAUAUACUCGAAGAAGGCUUUCUUCGAAAAUCAUAUAAAUGCAGUUCGAAGAAAGACGUCCCUGAAGACAAUUGCAAAUUCAAAGUGUUCCAAACAUCAAAAUAAUUACUACCAUGUAAUAUAAAGAUUGCAAGAGUUUAAAUGGGUGACUAUACUUGGGAAGUUAUCAACUAAAUAAGUUAAAGGAUCCAUGAAAUAAUUUUGCCAAAAUUUGUCUCACUUAUACAGAAUAAUAUAAAAUCGGUUAAAACAAGCACAGUUGCACCAUCAAACUUUUGGUAGAAGAAUAUCCACUAAUCUCAAUUGCGACAUUCAAAAUACACGGAAAGACACAACUAUUGGUCAUCUGUCUGAACAUUGGUGAGAUAAGCUAUCCAUUAACUUGAAAUCGAUAAUGGGAAGAGCCAAAAAAUUAUUACCCUAAGCUAGUGGCCAAGAAAAUGGAUUUUCGAGGUGGAUCACUUUCAUUUCAAGUGGUGCACAGGCAAUCAAUUAAGGAUAUUAAAGGACAACUUGUGAUGGAACAAAUUCAUUUUUAUUGAUCUCAUGAGAAUACAUUUCUGUGCACAUAAUCAUGAUUUUUAUUUUAUUGAAAGCAUGUAAAAUUAUUAUUGAAAAUGAUUUAUUUUGUUUUAUUUGAAAUAAAAUUGUUUUUUAAGGGUGGCUCUAUGGUGCCAUAACCGCUAUAUUUUUGUAUUAAGUGAUUGUUUUAUACCUUUAAUUUUAUUUUUUAUCACCAAAAUCUUAUUUGUGUGUGAGACAUUGAGAAGUGAGACAGACCAACAUAGUGUCGUAAUCAUCGUUCACGUCUUUUAUGUUCGUGAUUUUGACGAGUUCUUAUGUUCUCCGAUUGUUAUGGACACACCAUUGCUACAACCAGCCUAUACAUAUUUUUUAUGUAUAAGAAAAUUAAUCUAAGGGCGAUCUUAUUUGUUCAUAAAGACAAUUGAUCUAGUUGAUGGAUGUUAAUUCAUGUGGUACGUAUUUGCAUUGACCUGCAUAUAUAUGAGCAUGAUGUUGGUUCACUCUUUUUCAACAAACUAAGUGAAACGGGUCAACUUGAGUUGUCAAGCUCAAAACUUCACCUCGCUCCAUUUUAAAUUACAGUUAAAUACGGCAGGCUAAUAGGCUUAAUCCGUCUGUUUUAUCAUCCUUUCCGUUAAACUCAAUUUUCAUUGGUAAUGAUUCACACUAUUAUUAAUUGGAUUAACUUUUUUUUACCACUACUAACUCAAUCCAGCUUGAAAAGUCUUUGUCAUUUCCACAACCUAAAAGAAACAUGAUUUGCGAUCUGCUUUUCGCAAUAGAUUCGUUGAUUUAAAUUGGUCCUUUAUGUUAGAAAAUGACUAACUUAAGAAAGUAAUUUGUAACAAAGCACUACACUUAAAGGGCUACUUUGAAAAAAAUUGUAACAUAAAAAAUAUAUUAAAGGAUUAAUUUGUUAUAAACAUCCAACUUAAAGGACAGCGUGAGGUAUUUAACCUUUAAAUUAAAAUGUUAUAAAAAAAUUGCAAAUUAUAUUAAACAUGGCCAAGAAUAGAAACUUCAUCUUUGCCUAUAAAAGCUCAUUCAUAUGUCUAAACCUUCAAUCAUCCGACUAAUUGUUUCCUUAAGUACAAUCAAUAUGUCUAUUCUCUCUUUAAGCCCACUUUCCUUUCUCUUUCUCAUAAUUAUCCUUUUCACAUCUAAAGCCAAAGCAGACAACAACGACCAAAAAUUCCACUACUUUUGCGACCAAAAUAACGAUAGAGGUAACUACAUAACCGGUAGUGCCUACGACAACAACCUCAAAUUCGCUAUCAUGCACCUCACUUACAACUCAAAAAUUGACUACGGUUUCUACAACACCAACUAUGGCCAAAACAAUGACACAGUAAACGCCAUUGGAAUAUGUAGAGGAGACAUUAAUCCUCAAGAUUGUCGCAAAUGC
rnacentral:lncRNA from 1 species